AUGAGGACACUGGAGCCCCUCUCAAACCUAUCCUCUCUUGUCAGACUAGAAUUGUUGCAUUGCGGACAGGAUCUAAAAUGUCAGGGCUUGUGGUCUCUCCUUACCACCGGGGGCCAGCUCAACAAAUUAGAGGUCAAGGACAGCCCUAGAUUCUUUGUUGAUUGGGAUCCCAAUCCCAGACGGGCUUUGGAGGAUGCUGAGGGAGGUGAAGAGCAGCAGACACAGCUUGUUUCAUCCACACUGCGUGAGCUCGAGAUAGAGGUCAUGUCAGGGCUUCUUGCUGCACCCGUCUGCAGAUUCCUCUCUUCCUCCCUCACCAAGCUGCGACUUUGGGAGCUUUCGCGUGAAGGGAUGAAGCGGUUCACCAAGGAGCAAGAGGACGCCCUUCAACUCCUCUCCUCCCUCCAAACACUAGAGUUUUUGCAUUUCGAGGACCUUCAACAACUCCCUGCAGUGCUGCGUAACCUUACCAGCCUCAAGAUAUUAUCAGUCAGCUUAUGUACAGCCAUCUCGUCGUUGCCCAACGAUGCCCUCCCUGAUUCACUCGAAAUGCUAGAUGUCUAUGACUGCAGCGAGGAGCUAAAAGAGACGUGCAGGGGGUUAGUGGGAACCAUCCCCAAAAUCAUAAUAGACAGAGAAACAUACUGA
rnacentral:rRNA from 1 species